AAUCAACGCUGGCGGCGCGCUUAACACAUGCAAGUCGAACGAGAAAGCCGGGGCAACCUGGUGAGUAAAGUGGCGUACGGGUGAGUAACACGUGGGUGAUCUGCCCUCUGGUGGGGAAUAACCCUGGGAAACCGGGGCUAAUACCGCAUAAGUCCGCGAGGAGAAAGUCGCAAGACGCCGGAGGAGGAGCCCGCGGCCGAUUAGCUAGUUGGUGGGGUAAUGGCCCACCAAGGCGAUGAUCGGUAGCCGGCCUGAGAGGGCACACGGCCACACUGGCACUGAAACACGGGCCAGACUCCUACGGGAGGCAGCAGUGGGGAAUCUUGCACAAUGGGGGAAACCCUGAUGCAGCGACGCCGCGUGAGCGAUGAAGCCCUUCGGGGUGUAAAGCUCUUUCGGC
rnacentral:rRNA from 1 species